ACACCAAUGGUGAAGCGGUUAUCAUGCUUGCCUUCCAUUUCUUACCUAAGCUGAGUCAGCAUUGGUAAUCCGAUAGCAAGCGGCAGGGGUUCGACUCCCCUUUGGUGUA